rnacentral:rRNA from 1 species
GAAUGAUGGUGACCCAAACCCUCACCAGAGUAGCAAUUGGAGGGCAAGUCUGGUGCCAGCAGCCGCGGUAAUUCCAGCUCCAAUAGCGUAUAUUAAACUUGUUGCAGUUAAAAAGCUCGUAGUUGUAUUUUUGCGUUAGCGGUUUGACCAUUUGGUUGGUUAUUUCGUUUUCGCUUUUGGGAAUUUCCCUUUUUACUUUGAGAAAAUUAGAGUGUUUCAAGCAGACUUUUGUCUUGAAUACUUCAGCAUGGAAUAAUAGAGUAGGACUUUGGUUCUAUUUUGUUGGUUAUUGAACCUUAGUAAUGGUUAAUAGGAACGGUUGGGGGCAUUCGUAUUUAACUGUCAGAGGUGAAAUUCUUAGA